GCUUGUGACGAUGAGAAGUUAGGAGGAGGAUAUAAAGGUGACAGACGAUAAUACCGACUCAGAGAGCGUCUGCGAGAAAGUUCAGUCACGUGUGUGAAGCUCGGACAACGACUUGUCGUUAGGUAUCGCUCUCUUUACCUAACAUGUACGCAAAAAGGUUGUUCCAGCUGCUGUUGGUGAUCAUCCUGGCCUCGGUGACGUCCUCGUUUACUGUCCAACCUGAGUUACAAACUCAGCCAGUCCUACGUGAGCUGAAGCUUGCCACCGACAAUAACCAUCCCUUCCCCUGGCCCACUCUUCACCCCCCUACACAUUCUACCCUCCUUUCUCCCUUCCAGGUUCAGUGCUUGAGCCUGAACCCCAAAGUCCUACCGACAGGUGUCUUUGUGUCGUGCGCUGCUGCAAGACGACGAUGAGGAUGCGCCGUGCCGUGACCCUGACGCGCAGCAUGCCGCUGGUCCGCCGCAAGAGAUGCUGCGGCUGUCAAGACUGCGGCUCCCUGUAAGGUCGCCCUCUGACCUCUGCAGGUCGUUAUGGAGUGAGGUAUUAAAGCGUCACGCGAGGGCGGCUUCCAUCUCCUAUCCUCUCUGUCUUAUCUUCCCUAACCCGGAAUGGAGUCAGGUACCCAUUCCCGCCAGCUGGGUGGACUGGAAAAAGUUUGCUGCACUACUCGGGUAUCUAACGCCUCUUAGGUCGGACGCCAGCGCUCUAACCACUCGUCAAUCCGCUUCCUUUGAUCAGAAAACGAAAGUAACCCUCGUCAGUGCUUCCAGGCUACUACGUCUCUUCCUGGGAGUUGUAUUAUCAACUAAGAACUUGUCAUGUGGACUGUGGUCAUCAAUUCAUCAGCUUGCAAGACCAGAGGCAUGCUAACCAAAAAAAAUUAAACUGUUGUGAAUUUGUUGUAUCAAGGUGUGUUAUGUAAUCUUUAUCACGUUUCAGUUUCAGUUUGUUUUCAUGCAUUUUUACCCGUUUUUAAAUAUCCAGACUGUUCUGUUGCUAGUUUGUCAAAGUUACUUAUGUCGCUAAAGAAGGAUUGAUACUUAUAUUGACAAUGGCGAGCCCACUGUGAAACUGUGUUGUCUGAUGUGAAGCAGAGGCGUUGGGAUUCUUUUAUGAACAGAAUUGUGUCUAUACCAGAACACGUCCUGGCAGAAGUUGUUUUAUUUACGCAAACUUUAUGCUAUCUCUUCAGCAGUAGAUAAAAUGGUUCUGUGUGUGUGUGUGUGCGCGCGCGCGCGCGCACGUGAGAAGUGUCGUAGGUGUGUCUAUAAGAAUGGUUUUAAAAGGUUGUUUCCGUGUAUUUUGUGUCUUGCUACGAUGCAUCACUUGCUUCAUCUUGUAACUAGCAUUUUUUUCUUACAUAUUUCGUAACUGAGCACACUUCACAUGUUAUAAUAGUCCAUUGGGAUUAAUAA